UUUGAAAUCUGGCGCCUUCGGCGUCCGAGUUGUAAUUUGGAGAGGCAUCUUCGGGUGGGGAGCAGGCCUAUGUUCCUUGGAACAGGACGUCACAGAGGGUGAGAAUCCCGUGCACGGCCGGCUGUCCCCGUCCAUGUGAAGUGUCUUCGACGAGUCGAGUUGUUUGGGAAUGCAGCUCAAAAUGGGUGGUAAAUUUCAUCUAAAGCUAAAUAUUGGCGAGAGACCGAUAGCGCACAAGUAGAGUGAUCGAAAGAUGAAAAGCACUUUGAAAAGAGAGUUAAAAAGUACGUGAAAUUGUUGAAAGGGAAGCGCUUGAGACCAGACUUGACCUGGGGUGAUCAGCAGUCCUUCUGGGCUGUGCACUCGCCUCAGCGUCGGGCCAGCAUCGGUUGGGACGGCAGGAUAAAGGUCGCGGGAAUGUGGCUCCCCUCGGGGAGUGUUAUAGCCCGUGGCGCAAUGCUGCCUGCCCCGACCGAGGACCGCGCUUCGGCUAGGAUGCUGGCGUAAUGGUCUUCAGCGACCCGUCUUGAAACACGGACCAAGGAGUCUAACAUCUAUGCGAGUGUUUGGGUGGAAAACCCUUGCGCGUAAUGAAAGUGAACGGAGGUGGGAGCCCUCAAGGGUGCACCAUCGACCGAUCCUGAUGUCUUCGGAUGGAUUUGAGUAGGAGCAUAGCUGUUGGGACCCGAAAGAUGGUGAACUAUGCCUGAAUAGGGUGAAGCCAGAGGAAACUCUGGUGGAGGCUCGCAGCGGUUCUGACGUGCAAAUCGAUCGUCAAAUUUGGGUAUAGGGGCGAAAGACUAAUCGAACC
rnacentral:rRNA from 1 species